rnacentral:rRNA from 1 species
GACGAACGCUGGCGGCGUGCCUAAUACAUGCAAGUCGAACGCAGUGGGGACAGGUGAGUAACACGUGGGUAACCUCCCAUCAGAGGGGAUAAAACUUGGAAACAGGUGCUAAACCGAUACUGAUGGAUGGACCCGCGGUGCAUUAGCUAGUUGGUGGGGUAACGGCGCACCAAGGCCACGAUGCAUAGCCGACCUGAGAGGGUGAUCGGCAAAACUGGGACUGAGACACGGCCCAGACUCCUACGGGAGGAAGCAGUAGGGAAUUUUCGGAAAUGGACGAAAGCCUGACCGAGCAACGCCGGGGGAGUGAAGCAGGUUUUCGGAUCGAAAACCUCUGUUGUCAGAGAAGCGGUACCUAACCAGAAAGCCACGGCUAACUACGUGCCAGCAGCCGCGGUAAUAC